CUGCAUCCAAGCAUAUUCCUUCAAAAAUCUGUUCUGUUGUUUUUACCCAACAUCAAAAAAAAACCAGCAUCAGAUCUUUCUCCAAUCAUCUGAAAACAGAGUUUCCUUAACAUAACAUGACAAAUUACUUGCAUGGAAAGGAUUGGGAGCUUCCAAAAGUUUCAAAACAAGAAAUUUAUGAAA